AACGAACGCUGGCGGCAGGCCUAACACAUGCAAGUCGAGCGCCCAGCAAUGGGAGCGGCAGACGGGCGAGUAACGCGUGGGAACCUUCCCAAUGGUACGGAAUAGCUCAGGGAAACUUAGAGGUAAUACCGCAUAAGCCCGAAAGGGAAAGAUUAUCGCCAUUGGAUGGGCCCGCGUAGGAUUAGCUAGUUGGUGAGGUAAUGGCUCACCAAGGCGACGAUCCUUAGCUGGUUUGAGAGAAUGACCAGCCACACUGGGACUGAGACACGGCCCAGACUCCUACGGGAGGCAGCAGUGGGGAAGUCUUGGACAAUGGGCGAAAGACCUGAUCCAGCCAUGCCGCGUGAGUGACGAAGGUCUUCGGAUUGUAAAGCUCUUUUGCCAGGGACGAUAAUGACGGUACCUGGAGAAUAAGCCCCGGCUAACUUCGUGCCAGCAGCCGCUGU
rnacentral:rRNA from 1 species